rnacentral:rRNA from 1 species
CAGUUGGAAACGACUGCUAAUACCGCAUAAUGACUCCGGUCCAAAGAUUUAUCGCCCAAGGAUCAGCCUGCGUUAGAUUAGCUUGUUGGUGAGGUAAAGGCUCACCAAGGCGACGAUCUAUAGGGGGUCUGAGAGGAUGAUCCCCCACACUGGAACUGAGACACGGUCCAGACUCCUACGGGAGGCAGCAGUGAGGAAUAUUGCGCAAUGGGGGCAACCCUGACGCAGCCAUGCCGCGUGAGUGAAGAAGGCCCUAGGGUUGUAAAGCUCUUUCAGAUGUGAAGAUGAUGACGGUAACAUCAGAAGAAG